rnacentral:rRNA from 1 species
AGUGAACGCUGGCGGUAGGCCUAACACAUGCAAGUCGAACGGCAGCACAGUAAGAGCUUGCUCUUACGGGUGGCGAGUGGCGGACGGGUGAGGAAUACAUCGGAAUCUACUUUUUCGUGGGGGAUAACGUAGGGAAACUUACGCUAAUACCGCAUACGACCUACGGGUGAAAGCAGGGGAUCUUCGGACCUUGCGCGAUUGAAUGAGCCGAUGUUGGAUUAGCUAGUUGGCGGGGUAAAGGCCCACCAAGGCGGCGAUCCGUAGCUGGUGUGAGAGGAUGGUCAGCCACACGGGAACUGGGACAGGGUCCAGACUCCUACGGGAGGGAGCAGUGGCGAAUAUUGGACAAAGGGGGCAAGUCUGAUACAGCCAUACCGCGUGUGUGAAGAAGGCCUUCGGGUUGUAAAGCCCUUUUGUUGGGAAAGAAAAGCAGCAGGUUAAUACCCCGCUGUUCUGACGGUACCCAAAGAAUAAGCACCGGCUAACUUCGUG